GAAGAACUCUGGCUUUAAAUGCUGCAACAGCUAUUCAAAUACAGUACCUCUUUGAACCAGGACACAUCUGGGUGAGGUAGCUGCCUUUUGAUGGAGAUAUAAGCCUUGUGCACAAGCCACAUCUGCAAACAGCAACAUCCGCUCUCGUUCCAAGGGUAUCCAUGUCAACUUCAAGGAAUGCCUUCACUGUGGAAUGAAAAUCUAAAGUUCUAAGGCACUUUGUCCAAGUCAGCUCUGGAGAACUGGGAAAUGUCCCAACUCUGUGCUCCAACCAAAGAGCAGCAACCUGGAUCCAUAUGUAUUUAUGUCACUAUCUUCAUGCUGUUCUGUAGAGAUGCCUUCCCUUCGAUUCACUUGAAGGGAAGGAUAAAUGGCUA